AUUGAACGCUAGCGGGAUGCUUUACACAUGCAAGUCGAACGAGUGGCGGACGGGUGAGUAAUGUAUCGGAACUUGCCCAGUAGCGGGGGAUAACUACUCGAACGAGUGGCUAAUACCGCAUACGAUUGGAGCGGCCGAUAGCGGAUUAGCUAGUGAGUGGGGUAAAGGCUCGCCAAGGCAACGAUCCGUAGCUGGUUUGAGAGGACGACCAGGCGCACGGGGACUGAGAAACGGCCCAGACUCCUACGGGAUGCAGCAGUGGGGAAGUUUGGACAAUGGGGGAAACCCUGAUCCAGCCAUCCCGCGUGUAUGAGAAGGCCUUCGGGUUGUAAAGUACUUUUGGCAGAGAAGCGGUAUCUGCAGAAUAAGCACCGGCUAACUACGUGCCAGCAGCCGCGGUAAUUC
rnacentral:rRNA from 1 species